rnacentral:rRNA from 1 species
AGUAACGGCGAGUGAAGCGGUAACAGCUCAAAUUUGAAAUCUGGCUCCCUGCGGAGUCCGAGUUGUAAUUUGUAGAAGAUGCUUUGGGUGCACGAUCCGGCCUAAGUGCCUUGGAACAGGACGUCGUAGAGGGUGAGAAUCCCGUAUGCGGCCGGUUUCGACGCCCGUGUAAAGCUCUUUCGACGAGUCGAGUUGUUUGGGAAUGCAGCUCAAAAUGGGUGGUAAAUUUCAUCUAAAGCUAAAUAUGGGCCAGAGACCGAUAGCGCACAAGUAGAGUGAUCGAAAGAUGAAAAGCACUUUGGAAAGAGAGUUAAACAGUACGUGAAAUUGUUGAAAGGGAAGCGCUUGCAACCAGACUUGGGCGUCGCUGAUCAUCCAAAGUUCUCUUUGGUGCACUCGACGACGCACAGGCCAGCAUCGGUUGGGGUGGUGGGAGAAAGACUGCAGGAACGUAGCUCUUUUCGGAGAGUGUUAUAGCCUGCGGUGCAAUACCGCCUACCUCGACCGAGGACCGCGCUUCGGCUAGGAUGCUGGCGUAAUGGUUGUAAGCGACCCGUCUUGAAACACGGACCAAGGAGUCUAACAUCUAUGCGAGUGUUUGGGUGCGAAACCCAUGCGCGAAAUGAAAGUGAACGUAGGUGAGAACCCUUUAAGGGGGCAUCAUCGACCGAUCCUG